rnacentral:misc_RNA from 1 species
GGCUGCCGCAUUGCUAAACAUAGUUGCAUUUCAACAUACAGUUGCAACAAAAAAGUAAAAUUUUAGAGAUACACCAUACAUGUAUCUGUAAGUGGAAGUAUACGUGAGAGUACAAAUUACAAAAGACUAUAAUUUUAGGAUAAAUCAUAUUAGUUAUGGUACAAUUCCUUUAUAAUACCACCCUUAUUCAUUUAUCGAAUAUAAUUGUGUCUGAACUUUCCAUGGAGUGGAAAAUAAAUCUCCAUGAAGAUAGAAUCCCAACUUCCUGGUCUAUGUUAAAAUAAAAUAAACCAGAGACAUUAUUUUGUUGUUUCUAAUUUAUAUACAAAUUCAAAUUAA